AUUGAACGCUGGCGGCAGGCCUAACACAUGCAAGUCGAACGAGUGGCGGACGGGUGAGUAAUGUCUGGGAAUCUGCCCGAUAGAGGGGGAUAACUACUGGAAACGGUAGCUAAUACCGCAUACCAUCGGAUGUGCCCAGAUGGGAUUAGCUAGUAGGUGGGGUAAAGGCUCACCUAGGCGACGCUCCCUAGCUGGUCUGAGAGGAGGAUCAGCCACACGGGGACUGAGACACGGUCCAGACUCCUACGGGAGGCAGCAGUGGGGAAUAUUGCAAAAUGGGCGAAAGACUGAUGCAGCCAUGCCGCGUGUAUGAAGAAGGCCUUCGGGUUGUAAAGUACUUUCAGCGGGGAGGCGUUACCCGCAGAAGAAGCACCGGCUAACUCCGGGCCAGCAGCCGCGGUAAUAC
rnacentral:rRNA from 1 species